AUACUUACUGGCAAGGGAGAUAUCAUGAUCAUGAACGUGGUUUUUCCAGAGUUAGGCUCAUCCAUUGCAAUCCAGAUGUGCUGACUCCUGUGAUUUCCCCAAACGCGGGAAACUCAACUGCAUAAUUUGUGGUGCAUGUGUAUUGCCUUUUAACUUCCAUUAU